AGGAUGAACGCUGGCGGCGUGCCUAAUACAUGCAAGUCGAGCGGUAAGGCCCCUUCGGGGGUACACGAGCGGCGGACGGCUGAGUAACACGUAGGAACGUACCCCAAAGUGAGGGAUAAGCACCAGAAAUGGUGUCUAAUACCGCAUGUGCUCUUCGGAGGAAAGCUUCGGCGCUUUGGGAACGGCCUGCGCAUGAUUAGCUUGUUGGUGAGGUAAUGGCUCACCAAGGCGACGAUCAUUAGCUGGUCUGAGAGGAUGAUCAGCCAGACUGGGACUGAGAACGGCCCAGACUCCUACGGGAGGCAGCAGUAGGGAAUUUUCCACAAUGGGCGAAAGCCUGAUGGAGCAACGCCGCGUGCAGGAUGAAUGCCUUCGGGUUGUAAACUGUCUUUUAUAUGUGACGAAUAUGACGGUAGCAUAUGAAUAAGGAUCGGCUAACUCCGUGCCAGCACGCCGACGGU
rnacentral:rRNA from 1 species